CGGUGCGAUCAUACCAGCACUAAUGCACCGGAUCCCAUCAGAACUACGAAGUUAAACGUGCUUGGGCGAGAGUAGUACUAAGAUGGGUGACCUCUUGGGAAGUCCUCGUGUUGCACCCC
rfam:Ricinus communis cultivar Hale ctg_1100012299795, whole genome shotgun sequence.